rnacentral:rRNA from 1 species
GGCAGCAGUGGGGAAUAUUGCACAAUGGACGGAAGUCUGAUGCAGCAACGCCGCGUGAGGGAUGACGGCCUUCGGGUUGUAAACCGCUUUCAAUUGUGACGAAGCUUUUUGUGACGGUAGCAGUAGAAGAAGCACCGGCUAACUACGUGCCAGCAGCCGCGGUGAUACGUAGGGUGCGAGCGUUGUCCGGAUUUAUUGGGCGUAAAGAGCUUGUAGGUGGUUUGUCGCGUCGGGAGUGAAAACUCAGGGCUUAACUCUGAGCUUGCUUUCGAUACGGGCUGACUUGAGGGAGGUAGGGGAGAAUGGAAUUCCUGGUGGAGCGGUGGAAUGCGCAGAUAUCAGGAGGAACACCGGUGGCGAAGGCGGUUCUCUGGACCUUUCCUGACGCUGAGAAGCGAAAGCGUGGGGAGCGAACAGGCUUAGAUACCCUGGUAGUCCACGCUGUAAACGGUGGGUACUAGGUGUGGGGGACAUUCCACGUUCUCCGUGCCGUAGCUAACGCAUUAAGUACCCCGCCUGGGGAGUACGGCCGCAAGGCUAAAACUCAAAGGAAUUGACGGGGCCCCGCACAAGCGGCGGAGCAUGCGGAUUAAUUCGAUGCAACGCGAAGAACCUUACCUGGGUUUGACAUAUGCCGGAAGCGUUCAGAGAUGGGCGUGCCUUUUUGGUCGGUUUACAGGUGGUGCAUGGCUGUCGUCAGCUCGUGUCGUGAGAUGUUGGGUUAAGUCCCGCAACGAGCGCAACCCUCGUCCAAUGUUGCCAGCGGGUUAUGCCGGGGACUCAUUGGAGACCGCCGGGGUCAACUCGGAGGAAGGUGGGGAUGACGUCAAGUCAUCAUGCCCCUUAUGUCCAGGGCUUCACGCAUGCUACAAUGGCCGGUACAGUGAGCUGCGAGCCUGUGAGGGUGAGCGAAUCUCUAAAAGCCGGUCUCAGUUCGGAUUGGGGUCUGCAACUCGACCCCAUGAAGUCGGAGUCGCUAGUAAUCGCAGAUCAGCAACGCUGCGGUGAAUACGUUCCCGGGCCUUGUACACACCGCCCGUCACGUCAUGAAAGUUGGUAACACCCGAAGCCCAUGGCCUAACCACCGCUUGUGUGGUGGGGGGAGUGGUCGAAGGUGGGAUUGGCGAUUGGGACGAAGUCGUAACAAGGUAGCCGUACCGGAAGGUGCGGCUG